rnacentral:tRNA from 1 species
UGGGCCUAUAGCUCAGCUGGUUAGAGCACACGCCUGAUAAGCGUGAGGUCGAUGGUUCGAGUCCAUUUAGGCCCAU